rnacentral:tRNA from 1 species
GCUGAUGUGGCUCAGGGGUAGAGCACUUCCUUGGUAAGGAAGAGGUCGGCGGUUCAAUUCCGCUCAUCAGCU